UAUCUACGCCCUCCGUCCAGAAAAGCUUGUCCCUCAAAUGGAUGUAUCUAGUCCCUCAAAUGGAUGUAUCUAGCACUAACUUGGUGUUAGAUACAUCCAAUUAAGGGACAAGCUUUUUUGGACAGAGGGAGUAUAGU
rfam:Triticum aestivum genome assembly, contig: Triticum_aestivum_CS42_TGACv1_scaffold_224671_3B